rnacentral:rRNA from 1 species
ACCCAGACCGCCAGCUAAGGUCCCAAAGUCAUGGUUAAGUGGGAAACGAUGUGGGAAGGCACAGACAGCCAGGAUGUUGGCUUAGAAGCAGCCAUCAUUUAAAGAAAGCGUAAUAGCUCACUGGUCGAGUCGGCCUGCGCGGAAGAUGUAACGGGGCUAAACCAUGCACCGAAGCUGCGGCAGCGACACUAUGUGUUGUUGGGUAGGGGAGCGUUCUGUAAGCCUGCGAAGGUGACCUGUGAGGGUUGCUGGAGGUAUCAGAAGUGCGAAUGCUGACAUAAGUAACGAUAAAGCGGGUGAAAAGCCCGCUCGCCGGAAGACCAAGGGUUCCUGUCCAACGUUAAUCGGGGCAGGGUGAGUCGACCCCUAAGGCGAGGCCGAAAGGCGUAGUCGAUGGGAAACAGGUUAAUAUUCCUGUACUUGGUGUUACUGCGAAGGGGGGACGGAGAAGGCUAUGUUAGCCGGGCGACGGUUGUCCCGGUUUAAGCAUGUAGGCUGGUUAUCCAGGCAAAUCCGGAUAAUCAAGGCUGAGGUGUGAUGACGAGGCACUACGGUGCUGAAGUAACAAAUGCCCUGCUUCCAGGAAAAGCCUCUAAGCAUCAGGUAACAUCAAAUCGUACCCCAAACCGACACAGGUGGUCAGGUAGAGAAUACCAAGGCGCUUGAGAGAACUCGGGUGAAGGAACUAGGCAAAAUGGUGCCGUAACUUCGGGAGAAGGCACGCUGGUGUGUAGGUGAAGUCCCUGCGGAUGGAGCUGAGACCAGUCGAAGAUACCAGCUGGCUGCAACUGUUUAUUAAAAACACAGCACUGUGCAAACACGAAAGUGGACGUAUACGGUGUGACGCCUGCCCGGUGCCGGAAGGUUAAUUGAUGGGGUUAUCCGUAAGGAGAAGCUCUUGAUCGAAGCCCCGGUAAACGGCGGCCGUAACUAUAACGGUCCUAAGGUAGCGAAAUUCCUUGUCGGGUAAGUUCCGACCUGCACGAAUGGCGUAAUGAUGGCCAGGCUGUCUCCACCCGAGACUCAGUGAAAUUGAACUCGCUGUGAAGAUGCAGUGUACCCGCGGCAAGACGGAAAGACCCCGUGAACCUUUACUAUAGCUUGACACUGAACAUUGAGCCUUGAUGUGUAGGAUAGGUGGGAGGCUUUGAAGCGUGGACGCCAGUCUGCGUGGAGCCAACCUUGAAAUACCACCCUUUAAUGUUUGAUGUUCUAACGUUGGCCCCUGACCGGGGUUGCGGACAGUGUCUGGUGGGUAGUUUGACUGGGGCGGUCUCCUCCCAAAGCGUAACGGAGGAGCACGAAGGUUAGCUAAUCCUGGUCGGACAUCAGGAGGUUAGUGCAAUGGCAUAAGCUAGCUUGACUGCGAGCGUGACGGCGCGAGCAGGUGCGAAAGCAGGUCAUAGUGAUCCGGUGGUUCUGAAUGGAAGGGCCAUCGCUCAACGGAUAAAAGGUACUCCGGGGAUAACAGGCUGAUACCGCCCAAGAGUUCAUAUCGACGGCGGUGUUUGGCACCUCGAUGUCGGCUCAUCACAUCCUGGGGCUGAAGUAGGUCCCAAGGGUAUGGCUGUUCGCCAUUUAAAGUGGUACGCGAGCUGGGUUUAGAACGUCGUGAGACAGUUCGGUCCCUAUCUGCCGUGGGCGCUGGAGAAUUGAGGGGGGCUGCUCCUAGUACGAGAGGACCGGAGUGGACGCAUCACUGGUGUUCGGGUUGUCAUGCCAAUGGCACUGCCCGGUAGCUAAAUGCGGAAGAGAUAAGUGCUGAAAGCAUCUAAGCACGAAACUUGCCCCGAGAUGAGUUCUCCCUGAGACUUUAAGUCUCCUGAAGGAACGUUAAAGACGAUGACGUUGAUAGGCCGGGUGUGUAAGCGCAGCGAUGCGUUGAGCUAACCGGUACUAAUGAACCGUGAGGCUUAACCUU